rnacentral:lncRNA from 1 species
AAAAAUAUCUAAAUUAGUUAAACUGAUUUACCUUAAUGGCAUAAGUCAACUCCAAUCAAUCAGUGAUCUAAUCAAAACAUAAUCUACUAAAUUGACUAGGUAAGUGAGAUCGAUAAGAGGAUCUAUCUCGGUUUGCCUUAGACACCAUCAAAAUAGUCAGGUAAGCAGACUGACAAUUAAAAAGCACCGAUCAAAUUGUCCUACUUACCUUAGAUACCAAUUGGUCGAUUGAUUUUGAUUCGAUUAGCCAAUGGACUCAGGCUAAACCACUGAGCC